rnacentral:tRNA from 1 species
AGGAGCUUAGGCUGAAUUAAACCGAAAGCCUUCAAAGCUUUAAAUGGGCGUGAAACUCGCCCAGCUCUUG